rnacentral:lncRNA from 1 species
CCAAGCAAUCCUUGGUCAAGGAUCAACCUCUAUCACAAGCACUCACAUAAAACCCGCAAAGCAGUGUAUACAAAUGGAACUUUCUUACAAGGGAGAUAAAUUUCGCACAAACUACCUAUCAAAUCGAUUCCCGACCAUAGUCAGGACUUAUGACCGAAUCACAAUUUCAAACUCUAUCAAACGUUUUCUUCGCAAAGAAGACCGUGAUCAAAAACAUAUUUUCGGAAGAAGCGAUACAUCGUGACUUCUUGAAAAUAUUAUUCCCUACUUACAAACAAUCCGUCUGCGACUAUAGAUGAACAAAACGCUUGUCGAUUGGCCCCGACGGACGAAUUAAAACGUUCUCUAAAUGAACUGGUAGUCAGAUCUUUCGUAAAAAAUAAGGUCCUCUUACAUCCGACAAGGAUACCAUAGCGCUCUAUACAAAAAAUCCUAAAUUUUGGCCAAUACCUCCAGACAGUCUCUGGAAGUAACUCGAUUCUUACCACACAAGCCGUAUAAGCCGAUAACAAUUCUCGGACUUUAAUCGGAAUGAAUCAUGUCAAAAUCGCAAACAUGCAAAACGAAAGCCGAUUAGUCAUCGCUAAGCCUUAGCCAAGAGUAAACCUAGGUCUUGCCCUAAACCCAGCCACACUGAUCUCUAACAUCUCUAGACAUGAUAUCAAAACUGAUACGAGAUCCUAAAGAAUGUCUAUUUGUUCAUACCUAAAUGCUCAC